rnacentral:rRNA from 1 species
AGGGUAUAGACCCGAAACCCGGUGAUCUAGCCAUGGGCAGGUUGAAGGUUGGGUAACACUAACUGGAGGACCGAACCGACUAAUGUUGAAAAAUUAGCGGAUGACCUGUGGCUGGGGGUGAAAGGCCAAUCAAACCGGGAGAUAGCUGGUUCUCCCCGAAAGCUAUUUAGGUAGCGCCUCGUGAACUCAUCUCCGGGGGUAGAGCACUGUUUCGGCUAGGGGGCCAUCCCGGCUUACCAACCCGAUGCAAACUGCGAAUACCGGAGAAUGUUAUCACGGGAGACACACGGCGGGUGCUAACGUCCGUCGUGAAGAGGGAAACAACCCAGACCGCCAGCUAAGGUCCCAAAGUCAUGGUUAAGUGGGAAACGAUGUGGGAAGGCCCAGACAGCCAGGAUGUUGGCUUAGAAGCAGCCAUCAUUUAAAGAAAGCGUAAUAGCUCACUGGUCGAGUCGGCCUGCGCGGAAGAUGUAACGGGGCUAAACCAUGCACCGAAGCUGCGGCAGCGACACUUUAGUGUUGUUGGGUAGGGGAGCGUUCUGUAAGCCGUUGAAGGUGUCCUGUGAGGGGUGCUGGAGGUAUCAGAAGUGCGAAUGCUGACAUAAGUAACGAUAAAGCGGGUGAAAAGCCCGCUCGCCGGAAGACCAAGGGUUCCUGUCCAACGUUAAUCGGGGCAGGGUGAGUCGACCCCUAAGGCGAGGCCGAAAGGCGUAGUCGAUGGGAAACGGGUUAAUAUUCCCGUACUUGGUGUUACUGCGAAGGGGGGACGGAGAAGG